AAACCAGCACCUCAAGUGGUCAGGAGGGUUAUUGGGCCUAAAGCAUCCGUAGCCUGCUUUGUAAGUUUUCGGUUAAAUCCAUAUGCUCAACAUAUGGGCUGCCGGGAAUACUGCACAACUAGGGAGUGAGAGAGGUAGACGGUAUUCGGUAGGAAGGGGUAAAAUCCUUUGAUCUAUUGAGGACCACCUGUGGCGAAGGCGGUCUACCAGAACACGUUCGACGGUGAGGGAUGAAAGCUGGGGGAGCAAACCGAAUUAGAAACCCGAGUAGUCC
rnacentral:rRNA from 1 species